UUAUUAUAUAUAAUUAAUAUAAUAUACAUUAUCGUACUGUUUACAGUGACAACUAAAUAAAUGACUCAUUAUAUUCCAUUAAUAUGUAUAAAAUUGAUUAUUUUAAACACCAUUUUAAUUUCAAUUUUAUAUUUGUGUGUUACAGUAUCAUCGUUGUUAAUUAAUGAUCCGCAGUUUCUGAGAGGAGGAGGAGGCCUAGGAGAGGCAUUGGGCAUCAGUGGAGCAACUUAGCGAAUCAUCGUAGCAACGCUGCUGCUGAUAACUCCACUGCUGCACAUCGGUCGGUGAGAGAUAAAGAUUGUUAUAUUAAUAAUUAAUUGCAUGUUGCAUGAAUUAGAUUUAUAUAAAAAAUUAUGUGAUGUGAGAGUUUAUAAAUUGUUUUUUUACAAAAAGAAUGUGUAUAUAAAGUUUAGGAAUUUUAACGCAUUAAGCUCGAUACAACGCAAUGUCUCUUGUUACCAGGAAAAGGCUGAAGAAGAAAUAAGAGACGAAUAAUCAAUCAUUGUAAGUUGUAAGAUGAAACAUUGAAAAGGCAGAGACGUUCUCGAUUAAUCGCUGAUCAUUUUUAAUUAUCCCUAAUUAUUAAUCACUUAAUUUGUAAUAUUUAAUUGUAAUUAUUAAUUAAACGAUUAAUUAAAUUUUUGUCUAAUACUGCUGUAUAUGAUUUUAAAUUUUACAAACUUUUCAUUUCAAUCUUGAUUCGUUGUUACUUAUUAUGUUUAUUCUUAAACGCAUUUCAUGUAAAUGUUCAAAAAUAGUGAUGUGAGAUUUAAAGAGACUAAAUAAUUUUUAUUUAAAUUAAUAAAUUUAUCUUAUUCAUAUAUUUAAGUUUUAAUGACGUUUCUUUACAUGUAAAAAUAUAUACUUUUUAAAAAUUACAUUAUUGCUUUAUUUGGUCUACAGUAAGAGAUUCUUGGUGUUAAAUAAUAAUUUUUUUGUAAACUUAAUAUUUGUAGUGUAUAUAAUUCUCGCCGACAAAGAACAAUUUAUAGAAAUAAUAUUUUUUUAAUUAUAUAUUUUGUAGUAAAUUUAAUAUUUCCAGUUUAUGAACUGUUCGCCACUUUUUUCAAUCUUGAAAUACCGUUACUACCUAGAUAUCGGUACUCAGGAGCAUCUAUAAAAUUUCUUCCUUUUUCUAAACUAUUGGCAAUAAUUAUUGCGAAAAACUAAUACCUCAAUCAGGACUGGCCAUUCUAAUUGAGGUAUUAUUUUUCGCAAAAGCUGUAAAUAAAUUAUUGGGGAAAUAAUACAUACCUUAGCCAGAACUGCUGGCAAUAAUAUGUAGACCGCAAGUUUAGUAAUAAUAAAUAUAAUUAAAUUUUUUAUGUAUAAUUUUUUAAAUCUACGUUAUAAUAUAUAAACGUAAUAAUAAUUGUACAAACGGAAAGCGCGCAUAAUUGAUUUGAAAAUGCGAAUACGAUAGGUAGAAAUACUAUUGGAAUUUGCCUAUAUAUAGCUAUAUAUAAGUAUACAUAGGAAAUUUCGAUUGUAAUAUAUUUUAGGAUUUGUUUGUAUUUGUGUUAUAUCAUCCGGGUAGCGGGUAGGAACUCCUUAUGGACAGUCCUAUCAGGGGAAUUGAAUCAACCCCUGCCCACCGUAGAUUCCAGGCGCUCCCUGAUCCGGGGAGCUAGCACCUGCCAAGGAUCCCUGCCCAGGGUAACGGGUGAAGAUUGCGAGGGCUAAAGACGAGACAGUGGAGAAGAGAGACAUUAGAGUGGCAAAUUAGACGAAGGUGCCAACUCAGCCCUUAGAAGAAAAUGUAAAAUUAUCGAGGCUACGCAGUUCCACAUCCCCGUUUUGCGCUGAUACUACAUCGACGAUUUGGACCCACGAAAAAGGUAAAUGUCGCCCUGAUAAAAAAUAUUUGUAGAAUUACAUUAAUUUUUUUUUAUUUUUUAUUCAAUGAUACUAAUAUUAUAUUAUAAUAAAGGUAUUAGAUAUAGUAAUGCAGUUAAAACAGUUAAAAAUUUAAAUGUUAAAAAUAAAAUAAUGAAUUUGAAAAGAUAUUAAAUUAAAUAUUUAAAAGGUAUUUUUACUUAGUUAAAUUUAUAUUAGUCAAUUUAAACAAGUUAGUUUUUAACAAUUAUUUUAUUUAUUUAUAAUUUAUGUGAUUCGUGGCUUAGGUGUUUCGAGGCUUCUUAAUUAUUUUUCUCUUUUCUUUGUACAUUAUAUAAAGGUUAUAUUUUUAUAUAAUCCUAUCUUGAAAAGGAGAAUGAGACACGAAACAGAAUUUACAAGCAAAAAAUGCAUAAUAGAAUCGAAUAAGUAAAAUGGUCGUAUGUGAAUACGCGAUUUAUCGUUAACUAAAAUUAAUUAAGGUAUGCUAAAAUUAAUUAACUGAACGGCGAUCUAAUACAUUAUUUGACCCGUUGCUACUUUACAGUUGUAAAGAUUGUUGUUACUUGUUAAGAUUGGCAGUAGUUAAGAUUGUAAUUCAUAAUGCAACAUAUUAAAAACUUUCAUCUGACGUAGGUAAAGUUAAAAGACACACGAUUCACUUCUUAUUAUAAUAAUAUUUAUUUGCACUACAAAAAACAACAGGGACACUUUACAUAAAGAAAUAAUACGCUCGGUACAAGGACGAGAAACGCCGUGUUUCACAUGUUGACGACCAUUAUUUUUGUUAAAUUAUAUCGCUAAUUGGAUUUUCGCGUUCUGAAAAAAUCCAAGAAAGGAAUAUCUCCAAUAGUUUACUGCGGUGACAAACCUCCACAAACUGUAUCAGCUGAAUUACAUAUUAAGAAAAAUUUUUGGUUUUAUUUUCUCUCUCUCUCUCUCUCUCUCUCUCUCUCUCUCUCUCUCUCUCUUUCUCUUUUUGUUUCUAUAUAAUCAACAGCGUUAUUUAAAUUGUCUAAAUUUCAUGAAUUUACGUCACCGCAAGUUUUAGGGAGGAGAGAUUAAAAGUAGAUAGGGAGAUAAUUACAAAGAAAGUGUGAUAGAAACACAAAUAGAUAGAAACAAUAAGAUGCCUGGCACUAUUAUAUCCCAAAUUAAGCUAUAUAUCUAUAUCUAUAUAUAUAUAUAUAUAUAUAUAUAUAUAUAUAUAUAUAUGUAUAUAUAUAUUUAUAUGAGAUUUAUAUGAGGAAGGCUUAUGGUUUUUUUAGGGAGUUGUGAAACGUGUGCUGUUGAACGGUUCAGAAAACAAAGUCAAGUUUUUUUUUUUUCUUUCGAUUGUUCACAUGCAUGAAUGAUGCAUUUCGAUUUGAUCGUCGUCGGGACAAAACACUUGUAUGUAUCUGAACCGUCAACAGCACACGUUUAACUCCCUAAAAAAACUGUAAGCCUUCCGUAUCUCAUAUACCCUUUUAAAUAAAAAAAAAA
rnacentral:lncRNA from 1 species